CGAUAGCGUAUAUUAAAGUUGUUGCGGUUAAAAAGCUCGUAGUUGGAUUUCUGCUGAGGAUGACCGGUCCGCCCUCCGGGUGAGUAUCUGGCUCAGCCUUGGCAUCUUCCUGAAGAACGUAACUGCACUUGACUGUGUGGUGCGGUAUUUAGGACAUUUACUUUGAGGAAAUUAGAGUGUUUCAAGCAAGCGCACGCCUUGAAUACAUUAGCAUGGAAUAAUAAGAUAGGACCUCGGUUCUAUUUUGUUGGUUUCUAGAGCUGAGGUAAUGAUUGAUAGGGAUAGUUGGGGGCAUUCGUAUUUAACUGUCAGAGGUGAAAUUCUUGGAUUUGCUAAAGACGGACUACUGCGAAAGCAUUUGCCAAGGAUGUUUUCAUUGA
rnacentral:rRNA from 1 species